rnacentral:lncRNA from 1 species
AUGGUUGGGAAGAACAAGUGUGGCCUAAUACUGCUCACACUGACACAGGUGGGCUACUUCUUCAUCACUGGAGCCACAUGUCAACUAUUCCCACCCAAUAUUUUAUUUAUUUUAGAGAAAGAACAUGAACUGAUUGAGGGGAGAGAGGGGCAAGCAGUUUCUACACUGAACAUAAAGCCCAAUGUGGGGCUCGAUCCCACAGCCCUGAGAUCAUGACGUGAGCUGAAGUCAAGUCAGAUGCUUUACUGAGUAAGUCACCCAGAUGUCCCUAAAAUUCUUGUUUUGUUUCAAGAGAUCUGGAUGAAAUAAAAAUAAUAUACUAAAAGCUGAUAUGAAUUCCAGUACUUCUUAAAGAGAUAUAAAAUGUUUUGGGGGGAUCCCUGGGUGGCUCAGCGGUUUAGAGCCUGCCUUUGGCCCAGGGCGCGAUCCUGGAGACCCGGGAUCGAGUCCCACGUCGGGCUCCCGGCAUGGAGCCUGCUUCUCCCUCCCUCCUCCUCUCUGCCUCUCUCUCUCUCUAUGUCUAUCAUAAAUAAAUAAAUAAACAAACAAAUAAAUAAAUAAAUCUAAAAAAAAUGUUUUGGGAAAAAAAAAUAAAAUGUUUUGGGGAAGUUUUGUUUGAGAAAAUUUUCCUGCCAUGGCUAAUGUCCUUCUUUCCUUCCAAAUAUGCUAUAAUGACUCUUGCUAUUGAAAGCCAAGAUUUUGAUAGUGUCUGAUUUCAUGAUCAAAUUAGAUGAUGUCAAAUCUCAUCAUUAAUUUGACCCAUCAGAUAAAUGUCAGGUAUUGUAGCAUGUAGAGGUCCUUCAAAGGAAAAAAUUCAGGGACACCUGGGUGGUUCAGUGGUUGAGCAUCUGCCUUUGGCCCAGGGCGUGAUCUCGGAAUUCUGGGAUCAAGUCCCGCAUCAUGCUCCCUGCAUGGAGCCGGCUUCUCCUUUUACCUGUGUCUCUGCCUCUCUCUCUGUGUCUGUCAUGAAUAAAUAAAUAAAUCUUAAAAAAAAAAAAGUUCUUCAGAGAAGAGAGUGUAAGGUUAUAUUGUGAAAAUACCAACAAAACAAUGUGAAGCUACAUUGCCUCUACUUUCCUGAAUAGCUUUCCAUAAUCCAACUCUUGGCAGUGUACAAACAAGUUGAGGAAAGAAGUCUAUAGAGAGGGCCUCAAAAUAAUUGAAAAGAUAUCCUGAACUCUGUGGAUUUGGAAGGAAUCUAGAAAGAACACAAUAAUAUUUUGCUUUCAGAGACUGUUGUAACUGUGUAAAUUUAAAACAAUACACAAAAGCUGAUCAAGCUCCUAUUGUAUUUUAGGCCAGUUAGUUAUAAGCAGAGGCCGUGAGUCCCUAUGGAUGGAAACUCUACACCUCCCACAGGAUCUAUUUUUACAAUUAAUAUUUUGAGAGUCAAGAUGAUCUUGUUAUGCCUAAUAACUGGAUAAUGAAAUUUUAAUUUAUAUAAACAUAUGUUUAAUUCAAUAAUGAAUCCAAUAGUAGCAGAGUCCUCAAUAAACAUAUACACAAACAACAGCCAAAGUCUAUCCUGCUUUCGUUCUUCUCUGGUCUU